AGAGUUUGAUCAUGGCUCAGAUUGAACGCUGGCGGCAGGCCUAACACAUGCAAGUCGAACGGUAACAGGAAGCAGCUUGCUGCUUUGCUGACGAGUGGCGGACGGGUGAGUAAUGUCUGGGAAACUGCCUGAUGGAGGGGGAUAACUACUGGAAACGGUAGCUAAUACCGCAUAACGUCGCAAGACCAAAGAGGGGGACCUUCGGGCCUCUUGCCAUCGGAUGUGCCCAGAUGGGAUUAGCUAGUAGGUGGGGUAACGGCUCACCUAGGCGACGAUCCCUAGCUGGUCUGAGAGGAUGACCAGCCACACUGGAACUGAGACACGGUCCAGACUCCUACGGGAGGCAGCAGUGGGGAAUAUUGCACAAUGGGCGCAAGCCUGAUGCAGCCAUGCCGCGUGUAUGAAGAAGGCCUUCGGGUUGUAAAGUACUUUCAGCGGGGAGGAAGGGAGUAAAGUUAAUACCUUUGCUCAUUGACGUUACCCGCAGAAGAAGCACCGG
rnacentral:rRNA from 1 species